rnacentral:lncRNA from 1 species
AAAGUCAACAUCUUUCCCGUAGAAAAGCACAGAAGUAAAUGGCUUUGAUAUCUGCCCGAUUGCAGCCGAUACCCCUGCUGCUAUCAACACCUUCACAAUAUCUCCCAACCCGGAAUUCGAUUACCAGGCGAGAAUUGAAAAGAAAGGAAAUUGGAGUUAGAUUAAAAUCGGGGAGACAGACCUUGUUGUGGGCAACGCCUGCAACGAUAUCCACAGGUUGAAUCGAACUGAAACAAAUUGAGCUACGGCUUCUGGAGUUGUAGAAUCCCAAAUGAUUAGGCUUUGAUUUCCAGGUAUGCGAAAGACUAAACUCGAAUUGGGAAGCAUAAGGAGGAGGAGGAAGAGAGUAAAAGUGGCUGACCUCAGCUUUCCUAAUUGGGAUAGCUAAGGAAGGGUUCCCAAACCAAUGCUGUUGCAACAACAUAUUAUCACUCUACUUAUCUACAUACAAUGAAGAAGAAGAAGAAGAAGGCCAGCAGAGAUACUGGAGUU